AACAAACGCUGGCGGCGUGCCUAAUACAUGCAAGUCGAACGGGUAGCAAUACCAGUGGCGCACGGGUGAGGAAUACAUAGAUAAUCUGCCUUCGAGUCGGGGAUAACCAGUCGAAAGAUUGGCUAAUACCGGAUAAGACCACAGGAGCUGAGGCUCUAGGGGUUAAAGGUUUUUCGCUUGAAGAUGAGUCUAUGCGAGAUUAGCUAGUUGGUGAGGUAAUGGCUCACCAAGGCGACGAUCUCUAGCUGGUCUUAGAGGAUGAUCAGUCACACUGGAACUGAGACACGGUCCAGACUCCUACGGGAGGCAGCAGUAGGGAAUAUUGCGCAAUGGGGGAAACCCUGACGCAGCGACGCCGCGUGAGUGAUGAAGGCCUUCGGGUCGUAAAGCUCUGUCGUAUGGGAAUAACACAAUGAAUGUACCAUGCAAGAAAGGAUCGGCUAACUUCCUGCCAGCCGCCGCCGUAA
rnacentral:rRNA from 1 species